rnacentral:rRNA from 1 species
GAGGCAGCAGCUAAGAAUCUUCCGCAAUGGGGGAAACCCUGACGGAGCGACGCCGCGUGGACGAAGAAGGCCCGAACGGUCGUAAAGUCCUUUUUGCAGAUGAAGAAUAAGGUGAGGAGGGAAUGCCUCAUCGAUGACGUUAGUUUGUGAAUAAGCUCCGGCUAAUUACGUUGCCAGCAGCCGCGGUAACACGUAAGGGGCGAGCGUUGUUCGGACUUAUUGGGCGUAAAGGGCGUGUAGGCGGUCUGGUAAGUCUGGUGUGUAAAGCUGCGGCUUAACCGUAGUUGUGCGCUGGAAACUGCCGGGCUAGAGUCCAGAAGGGGGAGGUAGAAUUCCUGGUGUAGGGGUGAAAUCUGUAGAUAUCAGGAAGAAUACCGGUGGCGAAGGCGACCUCCUGGUCUUGGACUGACGCUGAGGCGCGAAAGCGUGGGGAGCGAACAGGAUUAGAUACCCUGGUAGUCCACGCUGUAAACGAUGUGCACUAGGUGUUGGAGCGAUGAAGCUUCGGUGCCGUAGCAAACGCGAUAAGUGCACCGCCUGGGGAGUAUGCUCGCAAGGGUGAAACUCAAAGGAAUUGACGGGGGCCCGCACAAGCGGUGGAGCAUGUGGUUUAAUUCGAUGAUACGCGAGGAACCUUACCAGGGUUUGACAUAUACCGGGAGCCGUGGGAGACUACGGUGCCUCUUUUGAGGCUGGUAUACAGGUGCUGCAUGGCUGUCGUCAGCUCGUGCUGUGAAGUGUUGGGUUAAGUCCCGCAACGAGCGCAACCCAUACUGUCUGUUGCCAACAGGUGAAGCUGGGGACUCAGACGGAACUGCCGGUGACAAACCGGAGGAAGGUGGGGACGACGUCAAGUCAUCAUGGCCCUUAUGUCCUGGGCUACACACGUGCUACAAUGGCCGGUACAGAGUGAAGCGAACCGAGAGGUNGGAGCAAAUCACAGAAAGCCGUUCUCAGUUCAGAUCGGAGUCUGAACCCGACUUCGUGAAGGUGGAAUCGCUAGUAAUCGCGCAUCAGCAUG